UCUAAUAUAACAAGCUUACUUCUCUAGCAGCAAAUCAUGGAGAACAAGGCUUUCUUCGUGUUGUUUUUGGCGCUCGCCAUAUUUGUGAUGAUGCUGGCCAUGGGCGUGGACGUGGGAGGAAUCGCAAAGGCUGCUGCCCAGCGCUGCCAGUCGGGGUGGUAUUGGUAUGACAACGGUUGCCACCGUUGCCAGAAGGGUUGGAGCUGGCGCAACAAUCGCUGCUCGCGCAACUGAAACCUCUCGUUUCACGGGGUAAGCCCAAGUUAAGAAUCAGCAUCGUAAUUGCCUUUGAUUUUAUCGUUCUGCAGUGCCAAAGGUCUGGAAACAAGAAUAAAGACAAUGAUAACGUGUUUUCUGUAUCGUGCCAUGUUGCAUAGUAUUGCAUGAGUUCCAGGAAUAAAAUAUAAAUUGUCCAAGC
rnacentral:lncRNA from 1 species